CAUAGCUUAUAAUUGAAGAGAAUGUUGCAUUGUGGGAAUGGCAUCAGCUGCUCGCUUCAGUCAGGUCUACCAUAUAUACGAUAUUUUAUGGUAGGAUACGAUAAUUAUUGUAAUUGACCGUACUGACAACUGCGAUAUCGUAAUUUAUAACCUAAACAUUUAUUUAUUUAAAUGUUUUAAACGAUUUUUAUACGAGAAAUGGCAACAAUUACAUGCUAUAUGACAAUGAAAAUGCAAGAAAUAUUUAUAGUGAGAAGUUAAAAGAUAUGAAAAUGAAGUGAAGGAUAACGGCAUUGAAAAUUAAUGAAUCUUGUCAAUAGUCCGGCUGGUGUUUACAGAAGAUAAAGAAGAGGAACAAUAAUUAUCAAUAAAUUGUAAACAUCAAAAAAUUCCAAAACUAUUGAGGUGUUGAAAUCCAGUAAAUUUUCUUGUAAAGCUUGGAGCAUUGCAAAUGUUUGGUGUUAAUGUAUGAGAGUACUUCACAUGUAAACAAUAAGUUGUCUGCUUAUUUGGGGCCAAAUAAGAAGGAGAGAAAUUUUCUUGGAAAAGAAUCGAAAGCAAUAAAGAUAAUGCUGCGAUUGGCAUUUUGGACAUUUGUGCUGUGUAUGUGGAUGUAUUGGCAAGCCUGCGCUGGAAAUUCGGCACAAAUCGGCUGUGUUUACAUCCGGUUUAGAGCAUUCAAAACGGUGCCGCCAAUUGAGACUGCCGUCGCCUGUGAAGUUUGCGCUGUACCGGAUAUCAUGACAGAAGAAUGCAGAAGGGUUGCUCAGCUAUUAACUUCGCCUUAUAAUCUUUAUUUAUUUCAAUUGUGUUGUAAGAAGUAUUUUUUAAACAGUAAAACUUUCUCCAAUUUAUAGACUACCUAUUAUGAUUCA